GGCCGUUUGGCUCAAUGGUAGAGCGUCCGCCUCCUACAUACUGGUAAAGCGGAAGGUGUACGUUUGCCCCAGUCCUGGCCC